rnacentral:rRNA from 1 species
UACGGAGGGUGCGAGCGUUGUCCGGAUUUAUUGGGUUUAAAGGGUGCGUAGGUGGCCCGGUCAGUCAGUGGUGAAAUGCGGCCGCUCAACGGUCGAACUGCCAUUGAUACUGCCGGGCUUGAGAGGGGUGGAGGCCGCCGGAACGGAUGGUGUAGCGGUGAAAUGCAUAGAUAUCAUCCAGAACACCGAUUGCGAAGGCAGGUGGCUACGCCCUUUCUGACACUGAGGCACGAAAGCAUGGGGAGCAAACAGG